GGUUAAGUUAAUAAGGGCGCACGGUGGAUGCCUUGGCACUAGGAGCCGACGAAGGACGUGACAAACGACGAUAUGCCUUGGGUAGCUGUAAGUAAGCGAUGAUCCAGGGAUUUCCGAAUGGGGGAACCCAACAGGUAGUACCUGUUACCCACAUCUGUUAAGGAUGUGAGGAGGAAGACGCAGUGAACUGAAACAUCUAAGUAGCUGCAGGAAGAGAAAGCAAAAGCGAUUGCCUUAGUAGCGGCGAGCGAAACGGCAGGAGGGCAAACCGAAGAGUUUACUCUUCGGGGUUGUAGGACUGCAAUGUGGACUCAAAGAUUAUAGAAGAAUGAUUUGGGAAGAUCAGCCAAAGAGAGUAAUAGCCUCGUAUUUAAAAUAGUCUUUGUACUUAGCAGUAUCCUGAGUACGGCGGGACACGUGAAAUCCCGUCGGAAUCUGGGAGGACCAUCUCCCAACCCUAAAUACUCCCUAGUGACCGAUAGUGAACCAGUACCGUGAGGGAAAGGUGAAAAGCACCCCGGGAGGGGAGUGAAAUAGAACCUGAAACCGUGUGCCUACAACAAGUUCGAGCCCGUUAAUGGGUGAGAGCGUGCCUUUUGUAGAAUGAACCGGCGAGUUACGUUAUGAUGCGAGGUUAAGUUGAAGAGACGGAGCCGUAGGGAAACCGAGUCUGAAUAGGGCGCCUUAGUAUCAUGACGUAGACCCGAAACCAUGUGACCUACCCAUGAGCAGGUUGAAGGUGCGGUAAGACGCACUGGAGGACCGAACCAGGGCACGUUGAAAAGUGCUUGGAUGACUUGUGGGUAGCGGAGAAAUUCCAAACGAACUUGGAGAUAGCUGGUUCUCUCCGAAAUAGCUUUAGGGCUAGCGUCGACAUUAGAGAUUCUUGGAGGUAGAGCACUGUUUGGGUGAGGGGUCCAUCCCGGAUUACCAAUCUCAGAUAAACUCCGAAUGCCAAUGAAUUAUGGUCGGCAGUCAGACUGCGAGUGCUAAGAUCCGUAGUCGAAAGGGAAACAGCCCAGACCACCAGCUAAGGUCCCAAAAUAAUUGUUAAGUGGAAAAGGAUGUGGGGUUGCACAGACAACUAGGAUGUUAGCUUAGAAGCAGCUAUUCAUUCAAAGAGUGCGUAAUAGCUCACUAGUCGAGUGACCCUGCGCCGAAAAUGUACCGGGGCUAAAACAAUUUACCGAAGCUGUGGAUACCUUUAUAGGUAUGGUAGGAGAGCGUUCUAUGUGUGAUGAAGGUAUACCGUGAGGAGUGCUGGAACGCAUAGAAGUGAGAAUGCCGGUAUGAGUAGCGAAAGACAGGUGAGAAUCCUGUCCACCGUAAGACUAAGGUUUCCAGGGGAAGGCUCGUCCGCCCUGGGUUAGUCGGGACCUAAGGAGAGACCGAAAGGUGUAUCCGAUGGACAACAGGUUGAUAUUCCUGUACUAGAGUAUGUAGUGAUGGAGGGACGCAGUAGGCUAACUAAAGCAGACGAUUGGAAGAGUCUGUCUAAGCAGUGAGGUGUGAAUUGAGUCAAAUGCUUAAUUCUAUAACAUUGAGCUGUGAUGGGGAGCGAAGUUUAGUAGCGAAGUUAGUGACGUCACACUGCCAAGAAAAGCUUCUAGCGUUUAAACAUACUCUACCCGUACCGCAAACCGACACAGGUAGUCGAGGCGAGUAGCCUCAGGUGAGCGAGAGAACUCUCGUUAAGGAACUCGGCAAAAUGACCCCGUAACUUCGGGAGAAGGGGUGCUGACUUAAAGUCAGCCGCAGUGAAUAGGCCCAAGCAACUGUUUAUCAAAAACACAGCUCUCUGCUAAAUCGUAAGAUGAUGUAUAGGGGGUGACGCCUGCCCGGUGCUGGAAGGUUAAGAGGAGUGCUUAGCGUAAGCGAAGGUAUGAAUUGAAGCCCCAGUAAACGGCGGCCGUAACUAUAACGGUCCUAAGGUAGCGAAAUUCCUUGUCGGGUAAGUUCCGACCCG
rnacentral:rRNA from 1 species